GGAAACUCGGCUUAACCGAAGAAGUGCAUCGGAAACCGGGCGACUUGAGUGCAGAAGAGGACAGUGGAACUCCAUGUGUAGUUUUGGAAUGCGUAGAUAUAUGGAAGAACACCAGUGGCGAAGGCGGCUGUCUGGUCUGCAACUGACGCUGAGGCUCGAAAGCAUGGGUAGCGAACAGGAUUAGAUACCCUGGUAGUCCAUGCCGUAAACGAUGAGUGCUAGGUGUUGGAGGGUUUCCGCCCUUCAGUGCCUGUUCUAACGCAUUAAUGCACUCCGCCUGGGGAGUACGACCGCAAGGUUGAAACUCAAAGGAAUUGACGGGGGCCCGCACAAGCGGUGAAGCAUGUGGUUUAAUUCGAAGCUACGCGAAGAACCUUAGUAGGUCUUGACAUCUUGCGCUAACCUUAGAGAUAAGGCGUUCCCUUCGGGGACGUUAAUGACAGGUGGUGCAUGGUCGUCGUCAGCUCGUGUCGUGAGCCGUUGGGUUAAGUCCCGCGCAACGAGCGCAACCCUUGUUACUAGUUGCCAGCAUUAAGUUGGGGACUCUAGUGAGACUGCCGGUGACAAACCGGAGGAAGGUGCCGACGACGUCA
rnacentral:rRNA from 2 species